rnacentral:lncRNA from 1 species
UCACAGAAAAUCUACCCAGUUAUAGCAAUGUGUUCCAAAUACAAAGCAAUUUUCAUUGCUUAUAACAGGGUAGAGUUUCAAAGUAAAAUGUCCUAUUAAAAUUAUUUCUUGAUGAAAAAGAAAAAUCUCGAAAAAAAACCAAAAAGAAAAAGAAACAACGAAGACGAAGACGAAGACGUUCUUCACCUUCCUAAUCCAAUGAUAGGAUUCGGGGUCCCACACGAACCAUUUCGGAAUGUUCACAGAACGCUUCCCGAUGCAGCCAUUGGGCCUCCGUAUUUUUACUAUGAAAAUGUUGCACUUACACCGAAAGGUGUUUGGAAUACAAUCAAACGUUUCUUAUACGAAAUCGAACCCGAAUUUGUGGAUUCAAAAUUCUUCUGUGCAGCAGCUAGAAAACGAGGUUACAUCCACAACCUUCCGUUAACAAACAGAUCCCCAAUUCAACCGCUUCCCCCUCGCACGAUUUUCGAAGCUCUCCCUGGAACUAAAAAAUGGUGGCCUUCAUGGGACAAAAGAGAACAAUUGAAUUGCAUACUUACAUGUAUAGGAAGUGCCCAACUUACGGAUCGGAUCAGAUUAGCCCUAGAAAAUUCGAAUUCGAAUUCCAAAAGUGAGUGCGAGCCUUCGGAGCAAGUGAAGAAAUUCGUUAUCAAUCAGUGCAAGAAAUGGAACAUGGUUUGGACAGGGAAGACGAAGGUGGCGCCACUUGAGCCUGAUGAGAUUGAGUUAAUCAUGGGGUACCCUAUCUACCAUACAAGAGGUGCAAGCAGAGCCGAAAGAUACAAAGGCCUCGGGAAUGCAUUUCAGGUUAAAAUGUUUUAAAAUUAUAAUUUGAGAAAUCUACAAAUUUAGCCUAAUUUCUGAAAUCAUUUGUCAAGAAAUAACUAAAAAAUUUAAGAAAUGACCCAAAUAGCCAAUGAAAUGGUUCACGUGCGGUGGUUUUGUCAUUUG